rnacentral:lncRNA from 1 species
UGAAAAAAUGUUUUCUUAUGUGUGUAUGUUUUUAUUUUUUUACCUUCUUGUAUGUCUAUGCACGACAUAAUGCAGUACCGGAAGAGGCCAGAAGAGGGCUCCUGGUCUCCUGGAGCAGGAGGUGAAUACACUUGCGGGCAGCCAGGGUGCUGCAAAUUGAACCGAGUCCCCUAGAAGCUCAACCAGUGCUGUUAACCCUUGAGCCAACUCUCUAGCCCACCCAAAUCUCUAUAAAUACUUAAGUACAUAAGCUGGAGCUGGAGAAUCACAACAGAGUGACACCCAAAUCCUUGGGAAAAUAGCAGAUGGGGCAGUGUUCUGCGGGAGCCAGCCCAAAGACCCACUGAGUAGGACAGGGGACACAGAGGGAAGCUGGGGCCUCCCUCAUCCUUAGGGAGCUCCCUGCCCAGGCUGGGCCCUCUGCUCCCAGUUAACUCGCACUCUUCCAGCCUAGGGUACCUAGGAUAUUGCCAUCGUUAACCGGUUACCAGGUCCCCUCCCCGCCGGGAGAAGAAGCUCACUUCUGUCUUCCCAGGGCGGGUGCCAAGGCACUGUGGGCUCAGCAGCAGUGAGACAGACAAGAAAAGCGAGAAUGCCGUGUUUCAGCAGGAGUGGAACUCCCAAGUUCCCUCAACAAGCCAGUGAUGGGAGCAGUUCUGGCUCCUGGCCAAGUCAGAGGUCCUCAGAAGUGGGGGAGAGGCUGGCAGAGAAAAUCCGCACUACUGCCCCUCAAUAGAUCACACAAAGGGAGGGGUCAUCCUCACAAUUUGUCACUUUUGUUUCUAAAGUGAUGAGGUGAUGCCCCCAGGAGCCCAAAGAAACUCAGAUUUGUCCUCUGCUAUGGGGUGAGGCAUGCUUCAUCCCCUGCUCUACAAAACUCCUUUCCCCAGGCACUGGAGAGAUGGCUCAGCAGUUAAGAGCACUGUGGGCUGUUCUUUGAGAGGAACCAGGUUCAAUUCCCAGUGCCCACAUGAUAGUUCACAGCUGUCUGUAACCGCUGUUCAAGGGGAUCUGAUUCUCAAAUACAUACUUGCAGGCAAAACACCAAUGUAUAUAAGAUAAAAAUAAAUAAAUAAAGCCUUUCUCCAUAGAAGAGCUGCUCAGGGGGAGGGAGAUCCUCACCCCUGAGCUCCCCCAAGUCUCUCUCUGAAAGGGGUCCAUCAUCCCACUUAAUGUAAAUUUCACUCAAAUAAAUGGUCCUUAGAUUGUCCCCUUUCUCCCCUCUGUUUCUGCCUAUGGCUGCAUGUCCAGGACCAGGGUAGGCCCUGGAAGAAAAACCAGCCAGCCACCAAGUAACAAGAGGAAGACAAAAGAGCCCCAAGCAAGAAAAAAAAAAAAAAAAAAAAAAGGUAUGAAAAUAGGCUUAGCUACUUUGGGGUUUUCCUUUGUAUUUAUUUUUAGCAAGGAUUGUGUGCCUAACUCUGCAUUGAAAUAGCUGAUGCUACCUCAUUGUUCCCAGGGACCUGUGCGUAGCAACCUAGCAGGCUUCAGGGAAGGCAAUGGGUUUCCUGGCUCACCCAAGCUGAACCCAGAGCAUUUAUUUGACAGGGCCUUCUCCUCGUUGUACCUUUUGGGUGUGAAGGAAAACAACCCGAAGAAGGCUUCAGAGCUGAGGAGGCAGCCAUGCUUGUGGACUUUAGGUUCCAAAAGGCAUCUCCUGCUGACGGUUGAAAGUCCAGGAGAGGUCUCCACACCUGGCACUCCAAGGAGACAGAAAAGAGGCCACCCUCGAUGGGUCUCACACUCACUCCAUUUGGGACUUGGCCUUUCAGGAUUUUUUCUCAGGAGAAGGGCUAUGGGAAGACUUUCUAGUUGGCAAAUCCUAUCUUAAGAUACCAAAUCCUGAGCCGGGCAUUGGUGGCGCACGCCUUUAAUCCCAGCACAUGGGAGGCAAAGGCAGGCGGAUCUCUGUGAGUUCAAGGCCAGUCUGGUCUACAGAGCGAGUGCCAGGAUAGGCCCCAAAGCUACACAGAGAAACCGUCUCGAAACCCUCCCCCCCCCAAAAAAGAUACCAAAUUCUGUCACAGCAUCCCCUCAGGCCCACUGGUGUACAUGGAUCCUAGGCUACCAAGAGACCCUGAAGGUUGGAGGCUUGCGUGCGUGCGGAGGCAGGCGAGGAGCGGGUGUUGAGACACCUUUGUCCGUUCAUGUCUCAGCACUGGUGACCUGGUGGCUGGACAGGAAGGACACACAGAGGUGGACAGAGUCCCCGCACAGGGAGGAGAUCCUGGCUCACAGCGGGUCCCUGCGGUGGCUGACCACACCACGACCUCCAGCGCGCCAGUCCCUCGGCUGCUCGUGAGCUCCAGUUCCUCCGUCUGUGAUGGAGACAGUGGCCGUCGUGCAAGGUGGUGGCGAGGAGCCCGUAGGCUCUCAAAUAUCAAAUUUCUGCUGCAGCGCCCUGCGGCUGUGUUACCACAGCAAGGACUCCCUGGCCCAGCAGCAGUUGUGAUCAAAGCCACCCGCUCCUUCCCAGCUGCCAGGAAAGGACAGAUCCAUCAGAAACACCCGAACACAACAGCCGCCCACUCCCCUGACAGCGGCUGCGGUUCCCAGUCUCAGGUUUCACCGCUUCCGACAGGGGCACCUGUCCUGGAUAGUAGAGUCUUCUGCCCACCUGAAAGUCAGAAGCAAGAGGAUCGCCCAAAGUUAAGGAGAGCUAGUUUCCAGAGAUGCCUAGAACCAAGGUGGAGAGGUUACAUACCUACUGUGUCCCCUGAAGCUACCAUUGCCUCCCACCUGUCAUGCACCAUGUCCCCAGAGGAACCAGGAGUCAGGCUGAGCCGGUCCCAAACUGGGAGCUCCACCCAGUCUGCAUGGAAGAAUGCCUGUUGCUCCUGGACACAGACGGUGUGUGUGGCCGAAAGCAUGGGCUGCUCAGGUGCUGCUGGCCCUCUGAGUGGCACCACAUGUGGCUAUUUUGCUUCAUCUCCACUGUGCCUUUGUUUGCCGUCCCCCACUCCUGCUCUGUUCCCCUUUGAUGUCUCCUAAGGAGUCCAGUGAGCAGAGAUGGGUGGAACAUUCCAAGAGGAGUCAGGGGAAUCCGGCAGAGGCUCCUGGGCAGCAGGGGCCUUGGUGAGACAGGAGAAGGACCAAGACGGUCCAGGGCUGAGGAGUGAGGGUGGCCCUGAAGCAGUGGGGCAGUGUCCCACAUGAACUAAGAAGUUGCCCUGUCCCCAUACCCUCCAGCAUCCAGUUUCCAUGUCCAGGCAAGAACUGGCCUGUCUCUAAUGUGGCACUUAACCAGGCUGCACAGGCUUUGUUUACCCAGUGAGUACACACAGGCAUUUCCAUCUUCCACAGCUCCGACCUCUGACUAAUGGACAAGCGUUGGCCCAUCAGCUACAACUGGCAGUGACCCAUGUCACUUCUGGGUCAAAAGCAUCAGUGCUCUGUGCUCUGUCUUCCCAUGCCAGAGUGACCUAAUUGUCCACACGGUGGCUCUUCUGGGAGUCUAGAUCCCGGAGACACUGGGUAGGGCAGGGCCUUGCUCUCCGGGCUCCAUCCCCCUCAGUGGCCAUUCAGCGUGGUUGAAUGAUGACCAAAACUGAAUGUAGUCACUGUGAUCUGGACUUGCAGACCAGGUGCAGGGGCCUCCCCUCUCAGCAGUGUCCCCAUCCCCAUCACUCAGGGAGUAAACAGAGCAGGGCAGAUACAACAACAGAAGAUUGAAUUGGCUGGGACUUCCCAGAGUACAAGGCUCCACACCUCUGGGCCUGCUGCCCGGUGAGCUGAGCCGCCUGGGUGCGUGUCCUGCCAUGACUCAAGAGGAGACAGCACAGCCUGUGACAAGCAGGAGUAGACAGGAGGCAGGGAGCAGCAGUUGCUCCUCAGGGCAUUGGCCCUGUCUCAAGGCAGGAGAGUACAUGGGGCCUCAAGCCUGAAACAGCCUCCUUACUGAGCUGACCUGCCAGGCACUCCUGGUCACAUGACUUAAUAACCCAUAAUAAGGCUGGGUGUAGUUGCAAACCCCUUUAAUUACAGCACUUGGGAGAUUGCAAUAAAUCUGAGGCUGGCCUGUGCUUCCUAGUGCAUGUCUCAAAACAAACACAAAUAAAAACACAUCACACAGUCAGGCGUUGGUGGCGCACGUCUUAAGUCCCAGCACUCGGGAGGCAGAGGCAGGCAGAUCUAUGAGUUCGAGGCCAGCCUGGUCUACAGAGUGAGUUCCAGGACAGGCUCCAAAGCUACACAGAGAAACCCUGUCUCAGAAAACCAAUAACCAAAACCAAACCAAAAAAUUCACAGACAAACUCUGGCACACACAGACACAGGCAUACACCAAGAGACACGUGCCACGUAUUAAGAGAACAGUCUCUUUUCUGGUUGGUCCCCUUCCUCAUCUCUCUACUGCCCCCAUUACCCAGAUCUCUGUCUCCCCAACUCCCUGGUUGUCUGAAACCAAGACCUGUGUGAGUUUCCCUUCCAUCUUCACCUGCGCCUUUGUCCAGCCCUGACAUGGACUGUUGGGCUAGAGUCUCUCUUCUCCUUAUGUCCCUCCCCUCUCUCUGCAGACAAGGGACUGUCCCUUCCCCAGGUGGUGCUCCCACCCAGGGAGAUCAUUUGACAAAUGAAUGCAGGAAUCCUGCUGGGGGUUGGAAGAGGGAUGUCUUCUAGAUGGACUUGUUAGGGAAGGUUCUAAGAUGUGAGUGUGGGUGUGUGUGUGUGUUCAAGGCAGGGUCUCACUAUAUAGCUCUGGAUGGCCUGAAACUCUAUGGAGACCAGACUGGCCUCAAACUCACUGAGAUCCACCUGCCUCUACCUGCUGAUUGCUAGGAUUGAAGACACCUGUUACCACAUCUCGCUGAAACCUGGCUUUUGAACUGAGGUUCCCUGGAGUGGGGAGGCUUUGCCAGUUUGUUGCAGGCAGAGGGGAAACGCACCAGCUCUGAACAGAGCAGAGGUGCUAAGGGCACAGUAAUGACCCUGCAUAGAGUCCCACUUUUCUUCCUUUCCCUGCUUGGUCUCUGGUAAGUCCCUGAAUCCUUCUCUAACCAAGGUCAGGCUGUACCGGGUGUGGGCUCAGCUUUCACUCAUUCAACAACCCAGAAAGGCGGGUGUGAUGUGACAUUCUUCCCCUU